rnacentral:rRNA from 1 species
UACGGAGGGUGCAAACGUUGCUCGGAAUCAUUGGGCGUAAAGCGCGCGUAGGCGGCGAAGCAAGUUGGAUGUGAAAGCCCUGGGCUCAACCUAGGAUGUGCAUACAAAACUGCUUCGCUUGAAUCUCGGAGGGGGUCAGGGAAUUCCCGGUGUAGAGGUGAAAUUCGUAGAUAUCGGGAGGAACACCAGUGGCGAAGGCGCUGACCUGGACGAUGAUUGACGCUGAGGCGCGAAAGCGUGGGGAGCAAACGGGA